rnacentral:tRNA from 1 species
UAGCUCAGUUGGUAGAGAAUCUGCCUGCAAUGCAGGAGACCCAGGUUCAAUCCCUGG